rnacentral:rRNA from 1 species
ACCUGCCCAUGUGCCCGGGAUAACUUCUGGAAACGGAUGCUAAAACCGGAUAGGUAGCAGACAAGCAUUUGACUGCUAUUAAAGUGGCUAAGGCCAUGAACAUGGAUGGACCUGCGGUGCAUUAGCUAGUUGGUGAGGUAACGGCCCACCAAGGCGACGAUGCAUAGCCGGCCUGAGAGGGCGGACGGCCACAUUGGGACUGAGACACGGCCAGACUCCUACGGGAGGCAGCAUG